GACGAAUGCUGGCGGCGUGCUUAACACAUGCAAGUCGAACGGAAAGGCCCUGCUUUUGUGGGAUGCUCGAGUGGCGAACGGGUGAGUAACACGUGAGUAACCUGCCCUUGACUUUGGGAUAACUUCAGGAAACUGGGGCUAAUACCGGAUAGGAGCUCCUGCUGCAUGGUGGGGGUUGGAAAGUUUCGGCGGUUGGGGAUGGACUCGCGGCUUAUCAGCUUGUUGGUGGGGUAGUGGCUUACCAAGGCUUUGACGGGUAGCCGGCCUGAGAGGGUGACCGGCCACAUUGGGACUGAGAUACGGCCCAGACUCCUACGGGAGGCAGCAGUGGGGAAUAUUGCACAAUGGGCGGAAGCCUGAUGCAGCAACGCCGCGUGCGGGAUGACGGCCUUCGGGUUGUAAACCGCUUUCGCCUGUGACGAAGCGUGAGUGACGGUAAUGGGUAAAGAAGCACCGGCUAACUACGUG
rnacentral:rRNA from 1 species